AUGAAUCACAUUCACCUUCACCUUCACCUUCACCUUCACAUUCACAUUCGGAUCAGAACACAAUCUGCUUCUUCUCAUCUCCUUCAUAUUUCUGAAGCAGACUCAGCAUUCAAAUCAUCCCAUUCAGUAACAAUAACACCGCCGAUAACCGGUGUUGUUCUUCUUCCUCCGAUUCGUUUUCUCGCCAAAAUUGAACAACAGAAAAAUCAACAUCAAAUUCACCUUGCUUUCUCCUAUCAACAAGGUUUUUAUUUGCUCGGUGGAAGACAUAUUUCGCCAAUGAUUUAUUCCACUCAAAUUUGA